CCACUUUUCUACAACCCACUCCGCCGCCUCGCCGCUAUCCCGACCCCUCCCGGUCUCGCCCAGAGGUGAUUGAUGGCAGCGGCGGCGGCGACGGCGACCGUUGGCGAAAUGUGCACCGGCCAGCAUGAACACCUCCGCCGCUCAGCGUGUUCGCUUGACGCGAUAUGGCAGGCGCCUCCACUCCCAUGCCGCCACCGUCUCGUGAUUACUCUUCUGCAGGUCAGCCAGUGCAAAGGUAGGAUUGGGGCUUAAUUCCUCGUAUCUUUCCGCGCUAGAUUCGAUCUCUGCAGGUUUGUUGUACUUUUAAAUCUUUCAUGGAUCUUAAGUUUCUGAAUAUGUAUUUCAGCCGUGAACGGUUUCAGGAUUCAUCUUUGAUCUAUGUGUUGUGCUUGUGUACUGGACGUGUUAUUCGUCUUUUCUGGUGCUUUUCUGUACCGUUUAAUUUGCUGCGUUGGUGGACAAACGAGGUUACUGGAAGAAGGGGUGCCACCUCCAGCAACGUAGAGGAGAAGGGGUGUUGCUGUCCGCCACAUCUAGCUUGUCCCCAAAAUUGUUGAACUUCUGCUCCUGAGGAGACAAAAGGGAUGCAACAACGGGGUGAGAAGAUCAGAGUGAUGUACUGAAGCCUCCCGUUCCACAUGUUCAGUACUUGCACCUCAACGUCACUUUUUGAGUAGUGUUGGCGGACAAACGGGCUUACUGGAAGAAGGGAAAAAUCUGAAGGAGAUAAAAAGGUUAUUUUCUUCCAUUUUCCUUAGAAGCCUCCAUAUAUUUUGAUCCUUUUUUUGGACCUUCAGCAGCCAUGUUCGUUGUGUCUGUAUCAUUUCCACCUAUCUUCUCACUCUUGAACCAUUUGGCUCCGGGGUCGAUGUUUUCUUCAUACAUGCAACUGAUCUUGCAUCGCAUCAGAAACUAUGUCCCUAAAUAAGCCCCCACCUGGUGUAUAUUUAGUGUAUAUGUCCU
rnacentral:rRNA from 1 species